GAUACCAGAAAGUGUUUCACGUAUUAGGGCAACGGUUCAUGAAGCCUUGAUUUCUGCUUUCUUCUAUGUCCACACAUACUGAGCUGUUACAUGAAAUAUAUCUCCGGGCCGCCUGGGUGGUUCAGUUGGUUAAGCGUCUGACUCUUUACAUGGGCUCAGGUCGUGAUCUCCCAGCUAGAGAGCACAC